ensembl:snoRNA
AGCCGCUGAUGACUUCUAAUACUUUUCUGACACCUCGUAUGAACGCUGUAUUACAGCAGCUGAUUAUAAUUUCUAGUCUGAGGCUC